CGGACGGGUGAGUAAUGCUUGGGGACUUGCCUUUGCGAGGGGGAUAACAGUUGGAAACGACUGCUAAUACCGCAUAAUGUCUUCGGACCAAACGGGGCUUCGGCUCCGGCGCAAAGAGAGGCCCAAGUGAGAUUAGCUAGUUGGUAAGGUAACGGCUUACCAAGGCGACGAUCUCUAGCUGUUCUGAGAGGAAGAUCAGCCACACUGGGACUGAGACACGGCCCAGACUCCUACGGGAGGCAGCAGUGGGGAAUAUUGCACAAUGGGGGAAACCCUGAUGCAGCCAUGCCGCGUGUGUGAAGAAGGCCUUCGGGUUGUAAAGCACUUUCAGUUGUGAGGAAAAGUUAGUAGUUAAUACCUGCUAGCCGUGACGUUAACAACAGAAGAAGCACCGGCUAACUCCGUGCCAGCAGCCG
rnacentral:rRNA from 13 species